rnacentral:misc_RNA from 1 species
AGGAUCAUUACCGAGUGAGGGUUUCUCUGAAGCCCAACCUCCCACCCGUGUAUACCGUACCCUGUUGCUUCGGCGGGCCCGCCUCACGGCCGCCGGGGGACCUCGCGUCCCCGGGCCCGCGCCCGCCGAAGACCCCAACACGAACACUGUCUGAAAAGUGCAGUCUGAGUCGAUUGUUACCAAUCAGUCAAAACUUUCAACAAUGGAUCUCUUGGUUCCGGCAUCGAUGAAGAACGCAGCGAAAUGCGAUAACUAAUGUGAAUUGCAGAAUUCAGUGAAUCAUCGAGUCUUUGAACGCACAUUGCGCCCCCUGGUAUUCCGGGGGGCAUGCCUGUCCGAGCGUCAUUGCUGCCCUCAAGCACGGCUUGUGUGUUGGGCCCCGUCCCCGGUACCCCCGGGGACGGGCCCGAAAGGCAGCGGCGGCACCGCGUCCGGUCCUCGAGCGUAUGGGGCUUUGUCACCCGCUCUGCAGGCCCGGCCGGCGCCAGCCGACCAACCCAACCAUUUUU